UGGGGAAUUUUGGACAAUGGGGGAAACCCUGAUCCAGCCAUCCCGCGUGUGCGAUGAAGGCCUUCGGGUUGUAAAGCACUUUUGGCAGGAAAGAAACGUCAUGGGUUAAUACCCCGUGAAACUGACGGUACCUGCAGAAUAAGCACCGGCUAACUACGUGCCAGCAGCCGCGGUAAUACGUAGGGUGCAAGCGUUAAUCGGAAUUACUGGGCGUAAAGCGUGCGCAGGCGGUUCGGAAAGAAAGAUGUGAAAUCCCAGAGCUCAACUUUGGAACUUCAUUUUUAACUACCGGGCUAGAGUGUGUCAGAGGGAGGUGGAAUUCCGCGUGUAGCAGUGAAAUGCGUAGUUAUGCGGAGGAACACCGAUGGCGAAGGCAGCCUCCUGGGAUAACACUGACGCUCAUGCACGAAAGCGUGGGGAGCAAACAGG
rnacentral:rRNA from 1 species